rnacentral:lncRNA from 1 species
ACUGGUAAUACUACUGGUAAUACUACUAGUAACACUAUAAGUGACAAAAACAGUAAUAAAGAUAAUAUUGGAUCGAUUCAAACUUAUAGUAGUAAACAUAAUGUAAUGAAUAUAUAUAGUGGUAUGUUACAAAACAAAUAUAAUAUUUAUGAUAAUAUGAAGGGUUGUGUUAUUAUAGAUAAAAAUGACUCACCCAACAUUGUUAAUAACAAUACAAGCACUACUAAAUGUAACAAUACCGAUAUUAGUGUUAGCAGUAAUAGUAGUUGUAGUUGUAGUAGUUGUAGUAGUUGUAAUAGUAGUAAUAAUAAUAAUAGUAAUAAUAAUAAUAGCAGUAAUAAUAAUAGCAGUAAUAAUAAUAGCAGUAAUAAUAAUAGCAGUAAUAAUAAUAAUAAUAAUAAUAAUAAUAAUGAUAAUAGUCCCAUUUCCAAAACAGAGUUUAAUGAUUCAAAGAAAGAACAUUAUAGUUCUAAUUAUAAAAACGUCCUUAAGAUGACAACAUCUGAAAGGGCUAAACAUCAAGCAAUGGACUAUUUACUUUAUGAUUCUGUAACACAAACAAAAGGAAAUUUUUUUCAAAAUUUUAUAGUAUGUGAUAAAAAUAUUUAUAAAGCUAUAAAAAAAAAAACUUAUGCUGAUAUGUCCUAUGUUUUAUUUUUUUAUAUGAAUUGUUAUAAAAAUUUGAGAAAAGGAGAAUUGAUGGAAAUACCUUUAUAUUUGGAGACAUAUAUGGAAACAACUACAUCUGGUAAUAGUAAUAAUUUCGAAAAAAAUGAUAAAGGUAUGACUGUUAGCGGUAACAAUGCUGAUUAUUAUAAAACAGAAAAAAAGCAAGAUGGUAUAAAAACUAGUACCACUAGCAGUAGUAACAAUAGUAGUAAUGGUAGUAGUACCGAUCCUAGUGGUAAUAGUAUACGUUUUGGGCUUAAAAAACAUAUUCACAAAAAUAAAUGUAAGGAUCCAGAAAAUGAAAAUACAUACAACCAUGAACAUGCACCUAGUUCAAGUGAAAAUAAUAGCAGUAGUGUAGAUAGUGAUAGCAGUUGUAAUAAUAUGGAAAAUAAUACUGAUAACACGAACAGAACUAAUAUAGGUGGAUAUUUUUUAUAUGCUCUUGUUAUAUCACACUAUACCUAUGCAUGUAAUCAUAUAUUAUCCCAAAACUGUAGUUACAAUAAAACAAACGAUAUGAAUUUUGCUAAUAAUAAUUAUAGCACUACUAGUAGUAGUAGUAGCAAUAACAACGAACAAAGUAAAGAUUAUUCAUAUUUAAUUUUCAGACCAUAUUUAAAUGGGUCAUGGUACAAAGUUUAUAAAAAUAGAAUAACCAAAUUAGAACAAACAUGUGAAUUUAAUGAAUGGAAAUUUCAUAAAGAUUUUUUUUGUUCUUGUUGUAUUUAUGUUUGUGAAUUUUAUUAUCAUUUACAUAAUUUUAUAUUUAUGCAUAAGUUUAAUAUAAAAGAUAUAAACUUUCCUUUGUAUAUACAUACAUUGCAAGAGUUUAAAAUUAAAGAGAGUGAUUUAUUUGAUUUUUACAACAAGGAGAAUAAAGAAAUUGUUGGUUCUCGUUUGGAUCAGCACCACCAGUUGAUGGAUGUUGUUGGUCACAACACUGUGUAUGAGAUACCGUCUUUGAGUAAGAGCGAACAAGAAAAGGGAACUGAAGAAGAAAAGGGAACUGAAGAAGAAAAGGG